rnacentral:tRNA from 1 species
GAUCCCGUAGCUCAACAGGUAGAGCAACUGACUUUUAAUCAGUAGGUCAUGCGUUCGAAUCGCGUCGGGAUCACCA